CAGGAAAAUUACAACCAGAUACCACCACACAACUGGGAUAAAGAUCUAGAACUGUGGCCUGUAAUCUGUGGGACCAAAGAGGGGAUGAUGGAUGCCAAAAAGCUGGAGAAAAGUCUGAAGUGUAUUGAAUGUGAGGGCCGCCACUUCACCCCACCUGCCUUUGAGGACUUUGCAGGAAAAAGCU